rnacentral:rRNA from 1 species
GACGAACGCUGGCGGCGUGCUUAACACAUGCAAGUCGAACGGAAAGGCCCUGCUUUUGCGGGGUGCUCGAGUGGCGAACGGGUGAGUAACACGUGAGUAACCUGCCCUUGACUUUGGGAUAACUUCAGGAAACUGGGGCUAAUACAGGAUAGGAGCUCCUGCUGCAUGGUGGGGGUUGGAAAGUUUCGGCGGUUGGGGAUGGACUCGCGGCUUAUCAGCUUGUUGGUGGGGUAGUGGCUUACCAAGGCUUUGACGGGUAGCCGGCCUGAGAGGGUGACCGGCCACAUUGGGACUGAGAUACGGCCCAGACUCCUACGGGAGGCAGCAGUGGGGAAUUUUGCACAAUGGGCGGAAGCCUGAUGCAGCAACGCCGCGUGCGGGAUGACGGCCUUCGGGUUGUAAACCGCUUUCGCCUGUGACGAAGCGUGAGUGACGGUAAUGGGUAAAGAAGCACCGGCUAACUACGUG